AUUGAACGCUGGCGGCAGGCUUAACACAUGCAAGUCGAGCGGGGAAAGGUAGCUUGCUACCUAACCUAGCGGCGGACGGGUGAGUAAUGCUUAGGAAUCUGCCUAUUAGUGGGGGACAACAUUCCGAAAGGAAUGCUAAUACCGCAUACGCCCUACGGGGGAAAGCAGGGAAUCUUCGGACCUUGCGCUAAUAGAUGAGCCUAAGUCAGAUUAGCUAGUUGGUGGGGUAAAGGCCUACAAAGGCGACGAUCUGUAGCGGGUCUGAGAGGAUGAUCCGCCACACUGGGACUGGAACACGGCCCAGACUCCUACGGGAGGCAGCAGUGGGGAAUAUUGGACAAUGGGCGAAAGCCUGAUCUAGCCAUGCCGCGUGUGUGAAGAAGGCCUUUUGGUUGUAAAGCACUUUAAGCGAGGAGGAGGCUACCGAGAUUAAUACUCUUGGAUAGUGGACGUUACUCGCAGAAUAAGCACCGGCUAACUCGGUGCCAGCCGCCGCGGUAA
rnacentral:rRNA from 1 species